rnacentral:rRNA from 1 species
UACGUAGGGGGCAAGCGUUGUCCGGAAUCAUUGGGCGUAAAGAGCGUGUAGGCGGCUCGGUAAGUCCGCUGUAAAAGUCCAGGACUCAACCCUGGAAAGCCGGUGGAUACUGUCGGGCUAGAGUCCGGAAGAGGCGAGUGGAAUUCCUGGUGUAGCGGUGGAAUGCGCAGAUAUCAGGAGGAACACCGAUGGCGAAGGCAGCUCGCUGGGACGGUACUGACGCUGAGGCGCGAAAGCGUGGGGGAGCGAACAGG